ACGAACGCUGGCGGCGUGCUUAACACAUGCAAGUCGAACGGGCCCGCUCUCUUUUUUGGGGGUCGGUUGAGUGGCGAACGGGUGAGUAUCACGUGAGUAACCUGCCCCCUGCUCCUGGAUAACUGCUUGAAAGGGCGGCUAAUACGGGGUGUGCCGGCUGGUCCGCAUGGGCCUGGUCGGGAUAGUUUCAUCUUCGGGUGUUUCGGUGGGGGAUGGGCUCGCGGCCUAUCAGCUUGUUGGUGGGGUGAUGGCCCACCAAGGCGGUGACGGGUAGCCGGCCUGAGAGGGUGGGCGGCCACACUGGGACUGAGACACGGCCCAGACUCCUGCGGGAGGCAGCAGUGGGGGGUAUUGCGCAAUGGGCGGAAGCCUGAUGCAGCGACGUCGCGUGAGGGAUGGAGGCCUUCGGGUUGUGAACCUCUUUCUCCGGUGGUGAAGGCCCUGUCCGUUGCGGCGGGGUUGACGGUAGCCGGGUAUGAAGCGCCGGCUAACUACGUG
rnacentral:rRNA from 1 species